rnacentral:rRNA from 1 species
GACGGAGGAUGCAAGCGUUAUCCGGAAUGAUUGGGCGUAAAGCGUCCGCAGGUGGCAGUUCAAGUCUGCUGUCAAAGACCGGGGCUUAACUUCGGAAAGGCAGUGGAAACUGAACAGCUAGAGUAUGGUAGGGGCAGAGGGAAUUCCUGGUGUAGCGGUGAAAUGCGCAGAUAUCGUAAGGAAGACCAGUGGCGAAGGCGGGUCUCUGGACAGUUCCUGACGCUGAGGCACGAAGGUCAGGGGAGCAAACGGG